rnacentral:rRNA from 1 species
AGUGAACGCUGGCGGUAGGCCUAACACAUGCAAGUCGAACGGCAGCACAGUAAGAGCUUGCUCUUACGGGUGGCGAGUGGCGGACGGGUGAGGAAUACAUCGGAAUCUACUUUUUCGUGGGGGAUAACGUAGGGAAACUUACGCUAAUACCGCAUACGACCUACGGGUGAAAGCAGGGGAUCUUCGGACCUUGCGCGAUUGAAUGAGCCGAUGUCGGAUUAGCUAGUUGGCGGGGUAAAGGCCCACCAAGGCGACGAUCCGUAGCUGGUCUGAGAGGAGGAUAGGCCACACUGGAACUGAGACACGGUCCAGACUCCUACGGGAGGCAGCAGUGGGGAAUAUUGGACAAUGGGCGCAAGCCUGAUCCAGCCAUACCGCGUGGGUGAAGAAGGCCUUCGGGUUGUAAAGCCCUUUUGUUGGGAAAGAAAAGCAGCAGGUUAAUACCCCGCUGUUCUGACGGUACCCAAAGAAUAAGCACCGGCUAACUUCGUG